GACGAACGCUGGCGGCGUGCUUAACACAUGCAAGUCGAACGGAAAGGCCCUGCUUUUGUGGGGUGCUCGAGUGGCGAACGGGUGAGUAACACGUGAGUAACCUGCCCUUGACUUUGGGAUAACUUCAGGAAACUGGGGCUAAUACCGGAUAGGAGCUCCUGCUGCAUGGUGGGGGUUGGAAAGUUUCGGCGGUUGGGGAUGGACUCGCGGCUUAUCAGCUUGUUGGUGGGGUAGUGGCUUACCAAGGCUUUGACGGGUAGCCGGCCUGAGAGGGUGACCGGCCACAUUGGGACUGAGAUACGGCCCAGACUCCUACGGGAGGCAGCAGUGGGGAAUAUUGCACAAUGGGCGGAAGCCUGAUGCAGCAACGCCGCGUGCGGGAUGUCGGCCUUCGGGUUGUAAACCGCUUUCGCCUGUGACGAGGCGUGAGUGACGGUAAUGGGUAAAGAAGCACCGGCUAACUACGUG
rnacentral:rRNA from 1 species